rnacentral:rRNA from 1 species
UAAAGCGUGCGCAGGCGGUUAUACAAGACAGGCGUGAAAUCCCCGGGCUUAACCUGGGAAUGGCGCCUGUGACUGUAUAGCUAGAGUGUGUCAGAGGGGGGUAGAAUUCCACGUGUAGCAGUGAAAUGCGUAGAUAUGUGGAGGAAUACCAAUGGCGAAGGCAGCCCCCUGGGAUAACACUGACGCUCAUGCACGAAAGCGUGGGGAGCAAACAGGAUUAGAUACCCUGU